rnacentral:rRNA from 1 species
GACAGAGGGUGCAAACGUUGUUCGGAAUUACUGGGCGUAAAGCGAGUGUAGGCGGUUUGGUAAGUCGGAUGUGAAAGCCCUGGGCUCAACCCAGGAAGUGCAUUCGAUACUGUCAAGCUAGAGUAUCGGAGAAGUUGGUGGAAUUCUCGGUGUAGCGGUGAAAUGCGUAGAUAUCUGGAGGAACACCGGUGGCGAAGGCGGCAUCCUGGACCGGCAUUGACGCUGAGGCGCGAAAGCCAGGGGAGCAAACGGG